UGGGGAAUAUUGGACAAUGGGCGCAAGCCUGAUCCAGCCAUGCCGCGUGAGUGAUGAAGGCCCUAGGGUUGUAAAGCUCUUUCACCGGUGAAGAUAAUGACGGUAACCGGAGAAGAAGCCCCGGCUAACUUCGUGCCAGCAGCCGCGGCAAUACGAAGGGGGCUAGCGUUGUUCGGAUUUACUGGGCGUAAAGCGCACGGAGGCGGACUAUUAAGUCAGGGGUGAAAUCCCGGGGCUCAACCCCGGAACUGCCUUUGAUACUGGUAGUCUUGAGUUCGAGAGAGGUGAGUGGAAUUCCGAGUGUAGAGGUGAAAUUCGUAGAUAUUCGGAGGAACACCAGUGGCGAAGGCGGCUCACUGGCUCGAUACUGACGCUGAGGUGCGAAAGCGUGGGGAGCAAACAGG
rnacentral:rRNA from 1 species